GGCCAUACUAAUUGUAGAACCACAUAAAAGCACAUAAGAGCACCUCUACGUUGACAUAAAAUACCCCCGUUUCCUAAAACUUUAUACCCACAGAGUAAUUUAAAACCCUAUUAACAUCUUCUGGUGAAACCCAUUGAAUUUCUGCACAAGAAUUGACGAGAAAACAGUAGCCCGAGUUCGUGUGUUCAUGAUUAUUUCUGGACAUUGCAUUUCCGGCAAAUUUAGCACUGCGAGCACACAACUUCAAUAUUUUUAAGCAAGUCUUUGCACAAAUGCUUAUUUUUAUCUUUGGUUGAGGUUUCUUGAAUGGCAGCCUCAGCUCAAUGGGACACCCAUCCUUUAGCUCUGCGAAUUCAACCAUUAGUUACUGCGCUGAAUAUGUCAUACUGUAGCUGAAAUAGUUGAAAAAAGAAAGAUAAACAGAAUAUAAGGUAGUUGGUUUUUUUGGGGCAACAAUGGCUUUGUCGAAGUUGUGCAAGGCAGGAAUUGGUGCGGCAGCAAUUGCUGGUUAUGGGAUUCAUUUUGCUGAAUAUGUUUAUGCAGAGGGGCCUUUUCAUUUCAAUUCUGCAGUUCCGAAGGAAGAAACCCGCUCCAAAGGAUUCGAUCCCGAGACGCUCGAGAGAGGAGCAAAGGCUCUCAGGGAAAUUAAUAGCUCUUCCCACGCCAAAAGAGUUUUUGAAAUCAUGAGGUAUCAGGAGGAUACAAGGCUGGCUCAGUUGGAAGCAAUGAAGGCAGAGUAUCAAUCACGGCAAGCACAAAUUGAUAUUGAAAGACAACAAGGAUUGUAUGAAGAACAAAGAAAACUUGUCCAACAACAAGCCCAAGCAAAGGCACAGAUGGCUCGCUAUGAGGAUGAGUUGGCAAGAAAGCGAAUGCAGUCGGAACAUGAAGCCCAAAGACAACAAGAUAGAGAGCUUGUAAAAAUGCAAGAGGAAUCAUCAGUGCGGCAAGAACAGAUCAGGCGUGCAACAGAAGAGAAAAUUCAAGCACAACAGCGUCAGACGGAUAAAGAGUGAGCUGAACUAGAUCGUGAGACAUUAAGGGUAAAGGCCAUGGCUGAGGCAGAAGGGCGAGCACAUGAGGCAAAGCUGGCUGAAGAGGUAAAUAAGAGAAUGUUAUUGGAGCGAGCAAAUGCAGAGCGAGAGAAAUGGCUUUCGGCAAUUAAUACAACUUUUGAUCACGUAGGAGGUGGUUUGAGAGCUUUACUGACAGAUCAGAAUAAGUUGGUAAUGACAGUUGGAGGAAUGACAGCUCUAGCAGCAGGCAUUUACACUACAAGAGAAGGUGCUAGAGUUAUUUGGAGCUAUGUUGAUAGAAUGUUGGGUCAACCUUCAUUGAUUCGUGAGUCAUCAAGAGGAAAAUAUCCAUGGUCGGGAUUGAUUUCACGCAGCAGGAGUUUGAUUUCUAGGCCUGGUAACACAUCUGGAGGGAAUGGUCCCUUAAAAAAUGGAAACGGUUUCGGUGAUGUUAUUCUUCAUCCUUCAUUACAGAAGAGAAUUGAACAACUUGGUAAAGCAACUGCAAAUACAAAGUCUCAUGAAGCUCCUUUUCGCAACAUGCUCUUCUAUGGACCACCUGGGACAGGAAAAACUAUGGCUGCUAGAGAGUUGGCUUACAAAUCGGGCUUGGAGUAUGCAAUGAUGACUGGUGGAGAUGUGGCUCCAUUGGGUUCACAGGCCGUAACAAAAAUUCAUCAGCUAUUCGACUGGGCAAAAAAGUCUAAGAAAGGCUUGUUACUCUUUAUUGAUGAAGCAGAUGCCUUUUUGUGCGAACGUAAUAGCACAUACAUGAGUGAAGCUCAGCGAAGUGCCUUGAAUGCACUUUUGUUCCGUACUGGAGAUCAGUCUAGGGAUAUUGUUCUUGUUCUUGCGACAAACAGACCUGGUGAUCUUGAUGCAGCUGUUACAGACCGUAUUGAUGAAGUUCUUGAAUUUCCUCUUCCUGGACUAGAAGAGCGAUAUAAGCUAAUAAAGCUAUACUUGAAUAAAUAUAUCGCAGGGUCAGGUGAUAGGAAAACUGGCUGGGGAUCCUACUUUAAGGGGGAACAACAAAAAAUAGAGUUGAAGGAUAUAUCUGAUGAUUUGAUUCACGAGGCUGCAAAUAAAACUGAAGGAUUUUCCGGACGAGAGAUUGCAAAGAUGAUGGCUGGUGUGCAAGCAGCUGUUUAUGGUAGCAAGGACUGUGUCCUCGAUUCUAACCUUUUUAGGGAAAUAGUUGAUUACAAAGUUGCUGAACAUCAGCAGCGCAGAAAGCACCAGAACUAUUAAUAAUUUAUAGAAUCUUCAUUACUUUUUGACAGCCAAAACUGUUGUCAGUGAUUGCCAAUGAGGCCAUUUGAGUUUUCACGUUGGGAGAUAUAAUGUGGUUGGUCUCACAUCUGCUAUCGGCUUUGGAAGUGAGUGAAUGUGACAAAGGUAUUUGUUCUCACUGUUUAAAAAGAUUUAGAACAGUGGAAUUUUCAAAAGUUUGUUUCAUCUUAUUCCAGUUAUAUGGAAUCAGAAAGUAUCCUAAUUCACUGCGCAAGAUGCUUAUCAUCCCAUUCAAAAUUGAACAUUACUUUGUUUAUUGUGGGAGACGGUUUACUACCAUGCAGACUAUGAUCCAUGGACCAUGGGCUUUUGUUUCAGAUGUUCUUUCCCAAGCAUCAGAAGUGCUUAGAAAAGGAAGUUCCAAUAAAGUAGCAUCCAUCUUAAGCGGUGCUUUGUAAUAUCAGAGUAACCCAUUUGUUUUUGGAAAAAAUUGUUAGUUGCUUUAAAAUCCAGGGAAGACACAAAUGAGAAAUGUUGAGUAGUGGCUUUGGAACAGUUACAUCAAACAGAAAAGCAAAGCAAAUUUCAUCAUAUUUUUGGGUUUUUAAACAUUUUUGAAAUCUAGUAAGAAUCUAUGGGUCUGGUACAAAUUCUGGGAUGUUUUAUAUUGAUUUAACCAUGCAGAGAUGAAUGUUAUUUUGAAAUAUCUUUGGUUGACUGGGCGUGAUCUCUUCAUAUAUGGCGUUUAAGGUUCACUCUGAGGAUUAUCAAUUAAAAUUGAAAUUGUUCACAUC